rnacentral:rRNA from 1 species
CCCUUAGAUGUUCUGGGCUGCACGCGCGCUACACUGAUGCACUCAACGAGUUUACAACCUUAUCCGGAAGGAUUGGGUAAUCUUUUGAACGUGCAUCGUGAUGGGGAUAGAUUAUUGCAAUUAUUAAUCUUCAACGAGGAAUUCCUAGUAAGCGCAAGUCAUCAGCUUGCGCUGAUUACGUCCCUGCCCUUUGUACACACCGCCCGUCGCUCCUACCGAUUGAAUGGUCCGGUGAAAUCUCGGGACGGCGGCUUGGUCGCUUGCGUCCGACUGCUGAAACUUGAUUAAACCAUAUCAUUUAGAGGAAGGUGAAGUCGUAACA